rnacentral:rRNA from 1 species
AGAGUUUGAUCCUGGCUCAGGACGAAUGCUGGCGGCGUGCCUAACACAUGCAAGUCGAACGGAGAAUUUUAUUUCGGUAGAAUUCUUAGUGGCGAACGGGUGAGUAACGCGUAGGCAACCUACCCUUUAGACGGGGACAACAUUCCGAAAGGAGUGCUAAUACCGGAUGUGAUCAUCGUGCCGCAUGGCAGGAUGAAGAAAGAUGGCCUCUACAAGUAAGCUAUCGCUAAAGGAUGGGCCUGCGUCUGAUUAGCUAGUUGGUAGUGUAACGGACUACCAAGGCGAUGAUCAGUAGCCGGUCUGAGAGGAUGAACGGCCACAUUGGGACUGAGACACGGCCCAAACUCCUACGGGAGGCAGCAGUGGGGAAUCUUCCGCAAUGGACGAAAGUCUGACAGAGCAACGCCGCGUGAGUGAUGAAGGAUUUCGGUCUGUAAAGCUCUGUUGUUUAUGACGAACGUGCAGUGUGUGAACAAUGCAUUGCAAUGACGGUAGUAAACGAGGAAGCCACGGCUAACUACGUGCCAGCAGCCGCGGUAAUACGUAGGUGGCGAGCGUUGUCCGGAAUUAUUGGGCGUAAAGAGCAUGUAGGCGGCUUAAUAAGUCGAGCGUGAAAAUGCAGGGCUCAACCCCGUAUGGCGCUGGAAACUGUUAGGCUUGAGUGCAGGAGAGGAAAGGGGAAUUCCCAGUGUAGCGGUGAAAUGCGUAGAUAUUGGGAGGAACACCAGUGGCGAAGGCGCCUUUCUGGACUGUGUCUGACGCUGAGAUGCGAAAGCCAGGGUAGCGAACGGGAUUAGAUACCCCGGUAGUCCUGGCCGUAAACGA